rnacentral:rRNA from 1 species
GCCUAACAUCUAGCCCACACCACCCACAUGAACCUUUUUCCUACACCCCACGUACGCAACAAAACAUUUUAUCUCUUUAGUACAGGCGAUCGAAAAACUUAUAGGCGCUUCAGAUUAAGUACCGCAAGGGAAAGAUGAAAUAAAAAUGAAAUAAUUUUAAAGCCCCAAACAGCAGAGAUAUACCCUCGUACCUUUUGCAUCAUGGUCUAGCUAGUCUAACCAAGCAAAAUGUGAACUUUAGUUUGACACCCCGAAACUAAGUGAGCUACUUCGAAACAGCCCUAAGGGGCCAACCCGUCUCUGUUGCAAAAGAGUGGGAAGAUUUUUAAGUAGAGGUGAUAAGCCUACCGAACUUAGAGAUAGCUGGUUAUUCAGGAGAAGAGUUUUAGCUCUGCCUUAAGUUUUUUUAAUUAACUCAAACAAAUCUUUAAACUUAAGAGUUAUUCAAGUAAGGUUCAGCUUACUUGAAACAGGAUACAACCUCCAAUAUUGGGUAAAUAAAGGAAACCUAGAUAAAGUGGGCCUAAAAGCAGCCACCUUAUGAAAAGCGUUGAAGCUUAAUCACUGUUUCACCUAUAAUUUCUUGAUUCCUUAUUAACCCCUCACCCCUACUGAAUCAUUUUAUAACGUUAUAAAAAUUAUUAUGCUAGAACUAGUAACAAGAAACUGCCUUUCUCCUGAAUGUCAGCCAGAACCGAAAUAAACCCUGUCGGUAUUUAACGUAAAUGCUUUAAAUAUAGUAACCCGCAACUAGAAAACCCUAUUAUUUUUAACGUCAACCUUACACCAGAACAUUACAGGAAAGAUAAAAGAAAGAGAAGA